CUCUUUUUAGAUUGGGUGUUUAAGAAGCCGAGCGGAAUCGACUUCAGUUCAAAGAAGGGCCAUCACGAUGAAAUUACAGUUGUUCCUGCUUGCCUUGUUGGUUUGCUGUUUCGUCAGAAAUAUACAUACGCAUUGGUGUAUAUCACAUGUACUUACUGAAGGGCGUUCUAAGAAAAUAUUUCGGUUCCAAGCAUAUCCGUGCAAAAAAAAUCGUGUAAAGCGAGACGCAUUGGGUGGAUCAAUAUUUCAAGAAAUGUAAAUCGAAUAUUUUUUGAAUUUAUAACGAUCAUUUACAAUUAAUAAAACUACAAACGAA